UGAGGAAUUUUGCGCAAUGGGGGAAACCCUGACGCAGCGACGCCGCGUGGAGGAUGAAGGCCUUCGGGUCGUAAACUCCUGUCAGAGGUGAAGAAUGCCCGCAAGGGUUUGACGGUAACCUCAGAGGAAGCCCCGGCUAACUACGUGCCAGCAGCCGCGGUAAUACGUAGGGGGCGAGCGUUGCUCGGAAUUACUGGGCGUAAAGGGUGUGUAGGUGGCUGAUCAAGUCAAAGAUGAAAUCCCGAGGCUCAACUUCGGAAUUGUCUUUGAAACUGGUCGGCUUGAGGCUAGUUGAGGAGAGCGGAAUUCCCGGGUGGAGCGGUGAAAUGCGUAGAUAUCGGGAGAACACCGUGAGGCGAAGGCGGUUCUCUAAACCUGUCCUGACACUGAAACACGAAAG
rnacentral:rRNA from 1 species